GUCCCCAUCGUCUAGUCGGCCUAGGACUCCGCCCUUUCACGGCGGCAACAGGGGUUCGAAUCCCCUUGGGGAUGCCA
rnacentral:tRNA from 1 species